CCCUUAGAUGUCCGGGGCUGCACGCGCGCUACACUGAAGGAAUCAGCGUGCUAAAACCAUUGUCGAAAGGCAUUGGUAAACCCAUUAAAAUCCUACGUGAUGGGGAUCGGGAAUUGCAAUUAUUUCCCUUGAACGAGGAAUUCCCAGUAAGUGUGGGUCAUAAGCUCGCGUUGAUUACGUCCCUGCCCUUUGUACACACCGCCCGUCGCUGCCCGGGACUGAGCCGUUUCGAGAAAAGCGGGGACUGCUGCUGUCGGGGCUUUCGGGCCUUGGCUUCGGUGGAAACCGCUUUAAUCGCAGUGGCUUGAACCGGGCAAAAGUCGUANCA
rnacentral:rRNA from 1 species